rnacentral:rRNA from 1 species
UACGGGGGGGGCAAGCGUUGUUCGGAAUUACUGGGCGUAAAGGGCUCGUAGGCGGCCAACUAAGUCGGACGUGAAAUCCCCAGGCUCAACCUGGGAACUGCGUCCGAUACUGGAUGGCUUGAAUCCGGGAGAGGGAUGCAGAAUUCCAGGUGUAGCGGUGAAAUGCGUAGAUAUCGUUUGGAACGCCAAUGGUGAAAACAGGUUGCUGGGAGUGUGCUGACGCUGAGACACGAAAGCCAGGGGAGCGAACGGG